rnacentral:rRNA from 1 species
CUUCGGGGUACUCGAGUGGCGAACGGGUGAGUANNNNNUGGGUGAUCUGCCCUGCACUUUGGGAUAAGNNNNGGAAACUGGAUNUAAUACCGAAUAGGACCACCCGCUNNNNNNUGUGUGGUGGAAAGCUUNNGCGGUGUGGGAUGGGCNCNNNGCCUAUCAGCUUGUUGGUGGGGUAAUGGCCUACCAAGGCGACGACGGGUAGCCGGCCUGAGAGGGUGACCGGCCACACUGGGACUGAGAUACGGCCCAGACUCCUACGGGAGGCAGCAGUGGGGAANAUUGCACAAUGGGCGCAAGCCUGAUGCAGCGACGCCGCGUGAGGGAUGACGGCCUUCGGGUUGUAAACCUCUUUCAAUAGGGACGAAGCGCAAGUGACGGUACCUAUAGAAGAAGCACCGGCCAACUACGUGCCAGCAGCCGCGGUAAUACGUAGGGUGCGAGCGUUGUCCGGAAUUACUNGNCGUAAAGAGCUCGUAGGUGGUUUGUCGCGUUGUUCGUGAAAACUCACAGCUUAACUGUGGGCGUGCGGGCGAUACGGGCAGACUAGAGCACUGCAGGGGAGACUGGAAUUCCUNNNNNAGCGGUGGAAUGCGCAGAUAUCAGGAGGAACACCGGUGGCGAAGGCGGGUCUCUGGGCAGUAACUGACGCUGAGGAGCGAAAGCGUGGGGAGCGAACAGGAUUANNUACCCUGGUAGUCCACGCCGUAAACGGUGGGUACUAGGUGUGGGUUCCUUCCUUGGGAUCCGUGCCGUAGCUAACGCAUUANG